GAUGAAGAACGUAGCGAAAUGCGAUAAGUAAUGUGAAUUGCAGAAUUCAGUGAAUCAUCGAAUCUUUGAACGCACAUUGCGCCCGCCAGUAUUCUGGCGGGCAUGCCUGUUCGUGCGUCAUUUCAACCCUCAAGCCCCAGCGGCCUGGUGUUGGGGACCGGCGACCUCGCCCGAGCCCGCCUCCGGGGCGCGUGCCCGGUGCGUCCGCCGCCCCCGAAAUGAAUUGGCGGCCUCGUCGCGGCCUCCUCUGCGUAGUAGCACAACCUCGCAAGCGGGAGCGCGACGCGGCCACUGCCGUAAAACGCCCAACUUUUUUAGAGUUGACCUCGGAUCAGGUAGGAAUACCCGCUGAACUUAAGCAUAUCAAUAAGCGGAGGA
rnacentral:misc_RNA from 1 species